GACGAACGCUGGCGGCGUGCUUAACACAUGCAAGUCGAACGGUGAAGCGCCUUCCUUUUUGGUGGGUGUGGAUGAGUGGCGAACGGGUGAGUAACACGUGAGUAACCUGCCCCCUUCUUCUGGAUAACCGCAUGAAAGUGUGGCUAAUACGGGAUAUUCUGGGUCUGUCGCAUGAUGGGUCUGGGAAAGAUAUUGUUUCGGUGGGGGAUGGGCUCGCGCCCUAUCAGCUUGUUGGUGGGGUGAUGGCCUACCAAGGCGGUGACGGGUAGCCGGCCUGAGAGGGUGGACGGUCACACUGGGACUGCGACACGGCCCAGACUCCUACGGGAGGCAGCAGUGGGGAAUAUUGCACAGUGGGCGCAAGCCUGAUGCAGCGACGCCGCGUGAGGGAUGGAGGCCUUCGGGUUGUGAACCUCUUUCGCCAGUGAAGCAGGCCUGCCUCGUUUGUGGGUGGGUUGACGGUAGCUGGAUAAGAAGCGCCGGCUAACUACGUG
rnacentral:rRNA from 1 species